CCAAUAGCGUAUAUUAAAGUUGUUGCAGUUAAAAAGCUCGUAGUUGAACUUCAGGCCUGUCCAGACGGUCCGCCUUAAUUGGUGUGUACUGUCCUUGGGUGGGUCCUACCUUCUGGCGAAGCGGCAUGGCCUUAAUUGGUUGUGUCGGGGAACCAGGACUUUUACUGUGAAAAAAUUAGAGUGUUCAAAGCAGGCAAAUAUGCUCGAAUACAUUAGCAUGGAAUAAUGGAAUAGGACGAUGGUUCUAUUUUGUUGGUUCUAGGACCGUUGUAAUGAUUAAUAGGGAUAGUUGGGGGCAUUAGUAUUUAAUUGUCAGAGGUGAAAUUCUUGGAUUUAUUGAAGACUAACUACUGCGAAAGCAUUUGCCAAGGAUGUUUUCAUUAAUCAAGAACGAAAGUUAGGGGAUCGAAGACGAUCAGAUACCGUCGUAGUCUUAACCAUAAACUAUGCCGACUAGGAAUCGGGCGAUGUUGACAAAAUGACUCGCUCGGCACCUCAUG
rnacentral:rRNA from 1 species